rnacentral:rRNA from 1 species
GGGGGGGCAAGCGUUUGUUCGGAAUUACUGGGCGUAAAGGGCGUGUAGGCGGUCCUGCAAGUCUUUCGUGAAAUCCCACAGCUCAACUGUGGAACUGCGAGGGAAACUGCAGGACUUGAGUCCGGGAGAGGAGAGUGGAAUUCCCAGUGUAGCGGUGAAAUGCGUAGAUAUUGGGAGGAACACCGGUGGCGAAGGCGGCUCUCUGGACCGGUACUGACGCUGAGGCGCGAAAGCUAGGGGAGCAAACGGGAUUAGAUACCCCGGGUAGUCCUAGCCUUAAACGAUGAGCACUUGGUGUGGCGGGUAUCGACCCCCUGCCGUGCCGAAGCUAACGCAUUAAGUGCUCCGCCUGGGGAGUACGGUCGCAAGGCUG